GAUGAACGCUGGCGGCGUGCCUAAUACAUGCAAGUCGAGCGAACGGACGAGAAGCUUGCUUCUCUGAUGUUAGCGGCGGACGGGUGAGUAACACGUGGAUAACCUACCUAUAAGACUGGGAUAACUUCGGGAAACCGGAGCUAAUACCGGAUAAUAUUUUGAACCGCAUGGUUCAAAAGUGAAAGACGGUCUUGCUGUCAUUUAUAGAUGGAUCCGCGCUGCAUUAGCUAGUUGGUAAGGUAACGGCUUACCAAGGCAACGAUGCAUAGCCGACCUGAGAGGGUGAUCGGCCACACUGGAACUGAGACACGGUCUAGACUCCUACGGGAGGCAGCAGUAGGGAAUCUUCCGCAAUGGGCGAAAGCCUGACGGAGCAACGCCGCGUGAGUGAUGAAGGUCUUCGGAUCGUAAAACUCUGUUAUUAGGGAAGAACAUAUGUGUAAGUAACUGUGCACAUCUUGACGGUACCUAAUCAGAAAGCCACGGCUAACUACGUG
rnacentral:rRNA from 1 species